CCUACGGGAGGCUGCAGUGGGGAAUAUUAGACAAUGGGCGAAAGCCUGAUCCAGCCAUGCCGCGUGUGUGAAGAAGGCCUUCGGGUUGUAAAGCACUUUCAGUGGGGAAGAAAGCCUUGGGGCUAAUACCCUCGAGGAAGGACAUCACCCACAGAAGAAGCACCGGCUAACUCCGUGCCAGCAGCCGCGGUAAUACGGAGGGUGCGAGCGUUAAUCGGAAUUACUGGGCGUAAAGCGCGCGUAGGCGGUCUGAUAAGCCGGUUGUGAAAGCCCCGGGCUCAACCUGGGAACGGCAUCCGGAACUGUCAGGCUAGAGUGCAGGAGAGGAAGGUAGAAUUCCCGGUGUAGCGGUGAAAUGCGUAGAGAUCGGGAGGAAUACCAGUGGCGAAGGCGGCCUUCUGGACUGACACUGACGCUGAGGUGCGAAAGCGUGGGUAGCAAACAGGAUUAGAUACCCGAGUAGUC
rnacentral:rRNA from 1 species